GACGAACGCUGGCGGCGUGCUUAACACAUGCAAGUCGAACGAUGAACCCGGAGCUUGCUCCGGCGGAUUAGUGGCGAACGGGUGAGUAACACGUGAGUAACCUGCCCUUGACUCUGGGAUAACUGCUAGAAAUGGUAGCUAAUACCGGAUACGACCCUCGGUGGCAUCACCAGGGGGUGGAAAGAAUUUCGGUCAAGGAUGGACUCGCGGCCUAUCAGCUAGUUGGUGAGGUAACGGCUCACCAAGGCAACGACGGGUAGCCGGCCUGAGAGGGUGACCGGCCACACUGGGACUGAGACACGGCCCAGACUCCUACGGGAGGCAGCAGUGGGGAAUAUUGCACAAUGGGCGCAAGCCUGAUGCAGCGACGCCGCGUGAGGGAUGACGGCCUUCGGGUUGUAAACCUCUUUCAGCACCGACGAAGCGCAAGUGACGGUAGGUGCAGAAGAAGGACCGGCCAACUACGUGCCAGCCGCCGCCGUAA
rnacentral:rRNA from 1 species